rnacentral:rRNA from 1 species
AUACGGAGGGGGUUAGCGUUGUUCGGAAUUACGGGGCGUAAAGCGUACGUAGGCGGAUCGGAAAGUAAGGGGUGAAAUCCCAGGGCUCAACCCUGGAACUGCCUCUUAAACUCCCGGUCUUGAGUUCGAGAGAGGUGAGUGGAAUUCCUAGUGUAGAGGUGAAAUUCGUAGAUAUUAGGAGGAACACCAGUGGCGAAGGCGGCUCACUGGCUCGAUACUGACGCUGAGGUACGAAAGUGUGGGGAGCAAACAGGAUUAGAAACCCUAGUAGUCC